rnacentral:rRNA from 1 species
GAAUUUUAUAUUAUUUAAUUUAUUUUAAAAAUUAAAUAGUAUUUUAUUGGGAGGAUAAUUAAAUUUAAUUAACUUUAAAAAUUUAAAACAUUAAUUAAUGGAUAAAUAAAAGAUUAAAAAUAAAUUAUUUAAGAAUUAAUUACCUUAGGGAUAACAGCAUAAUUUUAUUUUUUAGUUCAUAUAUAAAAUAAAGUUUAU